AGGAAUUUGCGUUAACGCCUUAUUAUCACAUUAACUUUGACAGCCCUAAUACAUAUGUAUUGAGUAUUCAAGGUUUUUUAAUGUUUUUGCAGACGACGAGGAGAAAAAAUCUCUCCCAAGACUCAUUCCCAUAGAGAGGCCUAUUAAUACUCACAAGGCCUCGUCAGUUAGGGUGUCAGUGUGAGCGUCGCGGGGCCCGGCGAUAACCUUGCACCUUAGUGACAUUAUAAACAUUUGCACUGGUAUUUAUAGCGCCACUUGAAAUAUCUCCUGGCGCCUUUCGCUGAGAUUUUUAUCUAUUCCUGAGAUGUGAAAACAAACAGAAAACACGGACCCAAUAAAUGCUGCCAUUGGCUUAUAACACUUUCACAAAGGACACCAUUUUGUGAGAGCCCCUGAGAAACGCUGACAACUUAACCUAAAUAUGUUUCGAAUUCUGGCAUUGGAACAUCGUGUCGCUUCAUCUCUGUUAAACAUUGUGGCUUACGGUUGUGGAUGGCAAAGCAGCAGAUUGCUGCAGAUUUUGAAAAGCUACAUAACUAGCAGGGGUUGAUUUGUGUUAGGCAGGGGACUUGUUCUGGGUUUACUUUUACAUGAGGAAUGAAGGAAGUGGGACAAGGUCGUGAUAUAGCUAGUCUGGGUUUAAAGCGAACAAGCAGAUUGCAAGGACGGAGACAGGGACAGUGGCAACAGACAGGCAGCCUUGUUUAUUGUGACUGCCAUGCAGAGGUAGCACGGCUGUUUUUAAUAAAGACGCAGCGCUUAUCUGUGGGCCUGCUCCAGGGGCUAUCAGAUGUGCUGCCAGUCAACACCGCGAAUCUGAUUCAAUUCUCUUUCUCUAUGCAGGUUAUUCAGGCUCUGUAACCAUUCCCUCUCUGCUGCUCGCCACCUCCGCCGCCUGCGAUAAAGGAAUAAUCUGCAGAAUGAGAUCAGGAGGCUGCGUCUGGCUGCCGGGAGCCCGGGAUGUGCCACUCGCCGACCAUGCCACGCCAGUCCGGAGCAGAGGAGCACAGAGCGCGCGUCUCAUGGAUUAAGCCACUCCUCAGGUUUAACAGCCCCUACAGCUUAACCCUCUAUCUCACCAUUAGCUCUCUUUCUCUCAUUUGCUUCUAUCUCUCCGCUAAACAGGCUCCCCGAAGCCACGGCUCUCAGCAAUAAAAACCCACAAAUGGGAAAAUACCAGUUCUAAUAAUCUGAUGAGAGCGUAAGGGAGAAGCAGCGGAGCAAAUGUGGAUAUCAUAUCGCACAGUGGUACUAUUAUAGUAAGCGUAGACACGGAGGCAGGCGCUGAUAAGGCGAUGCAAAUUUCAUUCAAGGUAUUCUAAUGAAAGUAAAGCUUAGCAAAGCUGCAAAAGGUGGAGUUCAUUAAGGUUUCGGUUUGACGCAUUAACAUCCAGUGACUCAAAAGUACUCAGUGAUGCCAAAUACGGCAUGACUGCUCAUAAAAUAACGCAUAAUUGUGAAUUCCUCGGACACACGGUUACAAUUCUGUCAUAAAAAGAUGGCAGCUGCAUUCGCCCAGAGAUUAAACAGUCGGUGGGAAUCUAUUAUCUGUCCGGAGCAGAGAACACAAUAGCCGCCGUGAUGCUAGUUAAUGGUUUCCCCUCAGGACCGAAAACAGCACGUUCACCAACAUCUAGCUGUUUACUUUUUGACUGAUAAUCUCAUUAACUACACAUGGGCCUCCACGCUGCUGCGCCACAUCCACCGCAUGCAUGUGUGUGUCCGGUAUAUGCACGUGCUGUAGCCGGCGUGACAUCUUUAUCCGCACGCGGUAUGUUUAUACCUUCAAUUAGCAACCUCCAUUAGCGGCAUCCUCGGUGGAACGCUACCAGCUAGGUUACAAACCGGCAGUUAAUUAGAAGCUAUUGGCUGGAACUAGAGGAUGACCAUUAGGGAUGGCGCAGGGAAGACGCACGUGACCCUGUGAAACUUUGGUCAUGGAAAAUGAAAUCACUGGGUUUGUGCCCUCCAGUUAGUCAAUUCAGCCCAAUCAGCCACAAUGUACAGGACGUAUCAGACGCAGGGGUUGAAGUUUCGGUUGCUAGGCCACUGAUGGAGGUUCGGCGUAACGAAGGGAGGAAUGGAGGGAGGGGCGGAAGUGAAAGGAGGUAGGAAAGGAGGAGUGGGUGGCUGUAAUGGCAGCUAGAGAAGAGGGGUAUAGGGUCUUGAUACUCGCUCUGAUUCGCUCUCUAUGCAAAUCACAACAAUCACAGGAAAUGCCUGGGCCUUGGCUUCGGCUAAUUGCCACGGCAAUAACAAAGGAGGGCUUCCUUUGAGCGGAGAGGCAAAUUAAACAUUAGUUUAGAGUUUUCUUGGAGACCGAGGGAUGUUAUAAUUACCCAGAAACCAACACAUCAGCACUUUGCACGCCACGCGUCCCACUCUCGUAGCCUGGCGGAGGAAAACAAAUGUAUCUCAUAUUCGGGAAGAGAGGCGUUUGGGGGGGAGUACCAGGAGGGAGUAUGGAGCAGGAGUGGGGGGGGAAGUACCAGGAGAGAGAUGGAGCAGGAGGUGGGGGGGAAAUGGAGGAAAGAAGAUAGUGAAGGGCAUGGAGAGAGAUGAGAGCAGAAAGCAGGGGAUGGGGGGGAGGACAGAGAUGGAGAGAGACGCGGGGGGAUAAUGAGGGGAAAGGAGGUGGAGAAUGAUAGCCUGUCUCUCCAAACCACUCCAUGCUGGUAGUGAGGCAUCAAAAUGUACACCCACUAUUAGCAUAUUGACCCCACCCCUCUCCUCUGGCCCUUUUUCCCCCUCAUUAUCAUCAGGCAUGGCGCACGGGAUGCGGGAAAAAACACAAGCCGAGCUCAUUUCCCAUCACAAGUUAAGCCUAAAUGUCACGCCAUGACGAUGAAAAUGAGAACACGGAACAAAUGGCGCCGCGCAAAUAAAUGCGUGUGCUAGUUUAGGCCCCCGUCUAGCUAUGCCACCCAAGGGUUAAGUCCGCGAGCGCUUCGUUAAUGUGGGUCGGUGCAGCGGAGCAUGUUGCAGGCGAUACAAACAAGGCUGGAUCUGGCUGAGAUGUGCAGCCAUGGAAACUUCAGGAGACGUCCUUGGAUCCGCUUCCCCCUCCAGGGGGGGAGGGAGGGAGGCAGAGUCGCCCGCCCCAGUCGGGAGAGGGCCGACGCUAGGCCUUGAGCGAUGCGAUGUGUCCUGGAUGGCUGGUUCUAUGUUUGAUCUAUGUGUGAGGGCAGACGCAAACCCUGCUGACUCAUUCACCCGGUCUGUCUAACCUAAAUGUUCACUCAAAGGGCCGGUCUCUCCCUGCAGCCAGACCCUGCCCUCUAUCCGUCUGUAGACCCGGUUCUUACCAAUCUGUUAGAUUGCCUGUCUCUCUCUCUGUCUUCCUGGUGCUCUAUCCGUCUAUACGUCUGUCUGUCUGACGGUUUGUAGGUCACGUCUGCUCGCUUGCCAGAGAAACGUCUGCCUUCCCUCACACCGUAUAGAUGCAGGAGCUCAUGCGAGCCACUGACCAUGGCCUGGAAAUCUAAUCACCCAGCACAGUUGGAUGUUUGUUUGUGCUUGUACACACAGAUGUGCAUACAGGGGUGCAAACAGCCAGCCAUGUACACAAACAAAAGGAGUACCACCCUGCUACGAUAGGUUUUUUUUUUGUUUUUCUAAAGCAGAGCCCGGCUGUUAUGUGUUAGUAUUUGUACUCUAAAAAGCACAGGUUGUGUGUGUUGUAUUAGUCACACAAUGCUAACCCCCAUUUACUCUCACACACACACACACACAACAAAUCCCUCUUCGUCAGCAAGCCAAGCUCGUAAAGCACUCGCCCUCUAAUUGGCAUCUAGUAAUUUCACUAGUUCUUAUAAUAAAAGAAACUUUUUUUUUCUACCCCAAUUACUUCUCCAUGUUUAUGUAAUGGGGCUUGUUAUUUUCUGCCUUUUAAUAUCACCCCCCCCCCCUCAUAUAACUGUAAGCUAUGUGAGUAACAGCCUUAAUAGACCACAGGUCCUCGAGGAUUUGUUACUUUAAGGGAAAAUCGGGGCUGCAGUGAUACUGUGUUUGCAAGCAAUCCGGAGCGGUGACAUCAGUUAAUUACAUAAAUUGGAGCGGGAUCGGGCCAGGCAUGAGAGAGAUUAUGACACAAGGGCAGACUGAGCGGCUAGAGGGACACAGCUCGGUGUUUCUGACACCGGCGUUCAGGGGGGAGAAGGAAUUACAUCACUGUGUUAGGGGGUUAUGUAAAACACUAGACCUGCUGUAAGACUCAAAACCUCCUCUGAGCAAAACAUUUACAGGGAAAUAACUCCUUAUUUAAGAGGGACGGAGCGAGCCUGUAACCAGAAUGUUUUUCUCUUUGUGUUCAGGAUAGCCAUGGUACAUCGGGAAAAACAAUCAAGACAAGACUUUUGCAUUUGCUCUAUAUUUAUGCAUCAUGAAUAAAGAAAAUUGCAACAAGAAAAAUUAAUAUCACUCUGACACCCAGGCCUUAAGAUAUGCUCCGUGUGGUUAAAAAAAGACCUGCUAGCGAGCCGGCACUAGAGGGGGUAUGAGAUCUCCACCUCCUCAUCAGCAGGCCUAAAGUCUAUCCCGUAGACGCUCAGGAACCCAGAGGGGAGAUCAAAGCCUGUGUGAUCCAGUGGCUGUUAUAUCACCCCCAGCCUGCUCUCCCACUGCGGGGCCUCCUGUUACGCCGGCGCAGGCAACAGGGAAGAGAGAGGGAAUACAAAACACUGACCUGGUCCCGUCUACACAUGCAACCUUCCAGGAUCUUUAGCGAGGAUUUAAAUCCUACCCUCCACCACCACCACCACCACCACCACCGCUGCAACUACAUUUACAUUCCACUUUGCAUUCCAUUAAUUUCCAUUUGACCACACUUGCAUGUUUUUGCAGGCCAACAUGAAUAGUCAUGAGCUGCACAUGCGCUCAUAUAAAAAAAAAAAAGAUACGCAGCUUCAAGAGCAAAAAAUAGGUUGAAUCUGUUUUCAGUCAUUGUUCACACUUCCAGUAAGGGGUUAGCCUCUGCAGGUAUAUGUGUUUUAAUUAAUCGCACAUUUUGUAUCUGU